GCGGUAUCUGGGCGCGGAGCGCCCCGCGUUCCGAGCUGCGGCUCGGAAGUACCCUGCCCCCCCGCCCCCGGAGUGCCCCCUGGAGGGCCUGGAGGGGCCCCGUGGGGGGGAGAGGGGUCGGGGGUGAGCGCACAAUGAAAUCCCUCCUUUUCAGCCGCUUCUUCAUUCUCCUUCCCUGGGUACUCAUCGUCAUCAUCAUGAUCGACGUGGACCCCCGCCGGCCCGCGCCCCAGCUCGGCCCGCACCCACACUUCUCCCCCUAUGCGGCCGGCCGCUGGGGCGCAGCUCCGCGCGCGGGCGUCCCGCGGCCCCCACUGCUCCCCCGAGACGGCAGCCUCGACGGCGGCCCCCAGCGGGGCGCAGAGCAGCCUCGCAACCGCUCGCAGCCGCCUCCGCCGCCGACGCCACUGCCCACCAUCUAUGCCAUCACCCCCACCUACAGCCGCCCGGUGCAGAAAGCGGAGCUCACGCGGCUGGCCAACACCUUCCGGCAGGUGGCGCAGCUGCACUGGAUCCUGGUGGAGGACGCGGCCGGCCGCAGCGAGCUGGUGAGCCGCUUCUUGGCCCGAGCGGGGCUUCCCAGCACCCACCUGCACGUGCCCACGCCCCGGCGCUACAAGCGGCCCGGCCUGCCCCGGGCCACCGAGCAGCGCAACGCCGGCCUCGCCUGGCUGCGCCAGACGCACCAGCACGAGCCUCAGCGGCCGCAGUCCGGCGUACUCUUCUUCGCGGACGACGACAACACCUAUAGUCUGGAGCUGUUCCAGGAGAUGCGUACAACAAGGAAGGUCUCUGUCUGGCCAGUGGGCCUUGUCGGUGGCCGGCGCUAUGAACGCCCUUUGGUGGAAAACGGCAAAGUCGUGGGCUGGUACACGGGCUGGAGAGCUGAUAGGCCAUUUGCUAUAGACAUGGCAGGGUUUGCUGUGAGCCUUCAAGUGAUCUUGUCCAAUCCAAAAGCUGUGUUUAAGCGCCGAGGGUCCCAGCCAGGGAUGCAAGAAUCUGAUUUUCUAAAACAGAUAACAACAGUUGAGGAACUGGAACCAAAAGCAAACAACUGCACCAAGGUUCUGGUCUGGCACACUCGAACAGAAAAGGUCAAUCUAGCUAAUGAGCCAAAAUACCACCUGGACACUGUUAAAAUUGAGGUUUAACUUGAGGAAGGAAACAGGGCCCGACACAUGGCUGGGGCAAAGGAUGCCUCCUGAAGUUAAGGCUGCAAAAGCAUUCAGAACUGGAAGCUCUCACAUGCAUCCUUAAAGAAGGGGUCCAGAGGAGAUCCUGCCAACUGUAAACUGGUGAGUCUCCUGUCGAAACCCAGCAAAGUUGCUGUAACAUAUUAACAAAGUCACAAAAUGCAUAAACUUUGGGGCGGGCCAAAAACCUAGACCCAAGUUAUGAAGGCUUUAACAAGGCUUCUAACAAGGCUUCACAAAAGCUGCUCAAAGGGGGAAAAAAAAUGAGGCAGCAAGCUACCAAGGAAUUGAGAGUUGUAUUUUGUCAUCAACAGAAAGCUAUCUUUUUAAAAAGCAAGGAGAUAAAUGGGAAUUUCUUUGGAUGGAAAAGUAUUUACAGUGGAUAUUAUUUCCCCAGGAAUGGGCAUUGAAAUCAGGCUUAUGUAACAGUUUUACAAAUUAUCUGGAAAGGAGAAUGAGUAAACAGUAUCAUCUUCAAAGUUUGCAGAUGACACUAAGACUUAACAGGUAGGAAAAAUCUCAUGUGAUUAAAUGAAAAGGGGAAGAUGAACUUGAAUGUGUGAAAAACAAAGUGACAAAUACAUUUAAGUGAAAAUAACCUAUACUUGGAUGGAUGAGAACUUGAAAAUGUCAAUCACGGCCUAGGAAAAAGGAGUCGAUAUAUACAGUGUUCUCUGUAACUAUAGGCUCAAACCCCAACUCUGGGCAAUACUGGGAAGUAUAUUAGAAACAGAAAACAAUAUCCUACUUUUGUAAGAAUCUGUGAUGUGAAAAGAAAAAAAAAAAGAAAAAGAAUCUGUGAUGUGUCUAUUCUGUCUAGCCACAUUUGAAAAAUAACACAAUAAAGCUAUAGGACAUUUAGAAAUGGGCAAAGGAGAAGGAUUUUCAUAUGAAUGAAAUUCCUUUUAAAAGUUAAUUUUAGUUUAAAAAGUGCAGGUUUACAUGUAAAAAUCUAUAAGGUACAAUCGUAGAAUGGGCAUGGGCUUAUUCACCAAAUCCUGGAAUCCUAGAACUAGAGGACACUCUCUAUAAUAGUUUUGAUACAAUAAGAAGAAAUGCUACUUGAGAUACUUUUGGAACUGGUUAUCCAAUGUGGUGGAAUAAGUGGAAAAUACCAAUUCAUGAAUAAAUUGUCUAUCAUCAUUUGCACAUUAAAGAACAUUUUUUGUUUAGGUUGAUAACAUCCCACACAGAACACCAGACCUAACCCAGUAUGACUUUUCACACGUUUGUGAUUUGACCAUAAUAAUGUUUCCCUGAACAUUUAAAAAUAGAUUUUAAAAAUCAAUUCGGAAAAAAGCUCAAGAGUUUAUUAAAACUUCUGUUCCUAUGGUAAAAAAGCCAAGAAAAGUGGUUUCUUUGCAUAACAAAUCCAAAUCCUACUCUUGGAUAUUAUAAUAGGUUUGUAUUAAAAAUUCAAGUAUAUAUUCAGUGCCUGUCAUAGUCCAUGCACUUGCUAGAUCCGGGGGAAAGAUACUUCAUAUUGUAAACCGUGUCACAGUGCUGAUUUUUUUAAAUCUACAAUCAUCAGCAUGUCACUGAAUCCAUGCUGACAACAUGUUAAUACCACAAACAUAUUUCUAAAUUGUGAGCACUCAAAUAUUAAAACAUUACCCAUGGUUAAAUAGCAUUUCUUUUACAGCAGUGCAUUUAACUAAGAAUUAACCUAAAAUAACAUGAAUAAAUGUGUUCCCCUUAGUUUUGCAAAGCAAAAG